UGGGGAAUUUUGGACAAUGGGCGAAAGCCUGACCCAGCAAUGCCGCGUGUGUGAAGAAGGCCUUCGGGUUGUAAAGCACUUUUGUCCGGAAAGAAAUCCUUGGCUCUAAUACAGUCGGGGGAUGACGGUACCGGAAGAAUAAGCACCGGCUAACUACGUGCCAGCAGCCGCGGUAAUACGUAGGGUGCAAGCGUUAAUCGGAAUUACUGGGCGUAAAGCGUGCGCAGGCGGUUUGCUAAGACCGAUGUGAAAUCCCCGGGCUCAACCUGGGAACUGCAUUGGUGACUGGCAGGCUAGAGUAUGGCAGAGGGGGGUAGAAUUCCACGUGUAGCAGUGAAAUGCGUAGAGAUGUGGAGGAAUACCGAUGGCGAAGGCAGCCCCCUGGGCCAAUACUGACGCUCAUGCACGAAAAGCGUGGGGAGCAAAACAGGAUUAGAUACCCUGGUAGUCCACGCCCUAAAACGAUGUCAACUAGUUGUUGGGGAUUCAUUUCCUUAGUAACGUAGCUAACGCGUGAAGUUGACCGCCUGGGGAGU
rnacentral:rRNA from 1 species